rnacentral:rRNA from 1 species
AUUGAACGCUGGCGGAAUGCUUUACACAUGCAAGUCGAACGGCAGCACGGACUUCGGUCUGGUGGCGAGUGGCGAACGGGUGAGUAAUGUAUCGGAACGUGCCCAGUCGUGGGGGAUAACGUAGUGAAAAUUACGCUAAUACCGCAUACGAUCUAUGGAUGAAAGCGGGGGAUCGCAAGACCUCGCGCGAUUGGAGCGGCCGAUAUCAGAUUAGGUAGUUGGUGGGGUAAAGGCCCACCAAGCCAACGAUCUGUAGCUGGGCUGAGAGGACGGACAGCAACACUGGAACGUAGACACGGAACAACCGCCUCCGUGAGUCAGCAGUGGGGAAUUGUGGAAACUGGGCGAAAGCCUGAUCCAGCCAUUCCGCGUGGAGGAUGAAGGCCCUCUGCUUGUCAGCUGCUUUUGUACGGAACGAGAAGGUUUCUACUAAUACCUGGAGCUCAUGGCGGUACUGUAAGAAUAAGCACCCGCUAACUACGAGCCAGCCGCCGCCGUAA